GGAUGUCGUUCGUAGUUAGAGCAACCGCCAUUGGAAAAAUGUAACAACGAACACUGAGCAUGUUCACAAACUCAAAUUGUUGAGUUCUUUUGGUUUCGAACGUCGAUGGGAACAGUUCGUUCUCUCCUCCAAAUCAAUUUUCACGGAAUAUAUUUCCAUGAAAUGUGUGUUUACUCCAACUAUAUCAGAAAAAGAAGCAUGGUUAAGUGAACGAAGUCGUGCGACAUAACCUCAAUGUGAGGUUAAAAUGUGAUCAAAAUGGGAAACACGUGUGAAAUGCAAUGAGCUACAGACGUAUAGCUGCAGACGCAUCCAUUUGGGAAGUAGGUACAUAAAAAGCGAUUUAUUUUCUUCAAGUUUCAUUUUUAAUGAUGAUUUUAUAUAAGAGACAAAGCAUAUACCUGAACAAAUAUUUGCGGCCAAAAUCACACCUUUCCGACGGCGGUAUCAGCUGCAGUAUUUCAUGCAUGCAUCUUGGAUCCAUCAUGUGUAAGACAAACGCUUCCGAUAACGGAAUUUAGGAGUGAAGAAAAGAAAAUGAAGAAAAAUAUGCAAUUGGCACCGAUCAUCAGCUGAAUCAAAAGAUUCAUUUUGUUGGGAAAUUGCACCUGUGGUUUACUGCCAGUUGAUGGUCCUUGCUCACCCAAAAAAAAAAAUAAAUCCGCAAAAAAUGCAUACAAAGCAAAUUCAUUUAAUAAAACAAUAAUAUUUUACUUACAAUAAAAA